rnacentral:rRNA from 1 species
GCCAGACUCCUACGGGAGGCAGCAGUGGGGAAUAUUGGACAAUGGGGGGAACCCUGAUCCAGCGACGCCGCGUGAGUGAAGAAGUAUUUCGGUAUGUAAAGCUCUAUCAGCAGGGAAGAAAGAAAUGACGGUACCUGACUAAGAAGCCCCGGCUAACUACGUGCCAGCAGCCGCGGUAAUACGUAGGGGGCAAGCGUUAUCCGGAUUCACUGGGGGUAAAGGGAGCGUAGACGGCGACGCAAGUCUGGAGUGAAAGCCCGGGGCCCAACCCCGGGACUGCUCUGGAAACUGCGUCGCUGGAGUACGGGAGGGGCAGGCGGAAUUCCUGGUGUAGCGGUGAAAUGCGUAGAUAUCAGGAGGAACACCGGCGGCGAAGGCGGCCUGCUGGACCGUGACUGACGUUGAGGCUCGAGAGCGUGGGGAGCAAACAGGAUUAGAUACCCCUGUAG